rnacentral:rRNA from 1 species
AACGAACGCUGGCGGCAGACUUAACACAUGCAAGUCGAGCGCCCCGCAAGGGGAGCGGCAGACGGGUGAGUAACGCGUGGGAAUCUACCCAUCUCUACGGAAUAACGCAUGGAAACGUGUGCUAAUACCGUAUACGUCCUUCGGGAGAAAGAUUUGUCGGAGAUGGAUGAGCCCGCGUUGGAUUAGCUAGUUGGUGGGGUAAAGGCCUACCAAGGCGACGAUCCAUAGCUGGUCUGAGAGGAUGAUCAGCCACACUGGGACUGAGACACGGCCCAGACUCCUACGGGAGGCAGCAGUGGGGAAUAUUGGACAAUGGGCGCAAGCCUGAUCCAGCCAUGCCGCGUGAGUGAUGAAGGCCCUAGGGUUGUAAAGCUCUUUCACCGGUGAAGAUAAUGACGGUAACCGGAGAAGAAGCCCCGGCUAACUUCGUGCCAGCCGCCGCGGUAAAAC